rnacentral:rRNA from 1 species
GACGAACCGUGCGAACGUUGUUCGGAAUCACUGGGUUUAAAGGGCGCGUAGGCGGGCUGUCAAGUCGGUGGUGAAAUCGUUCCGCUCAACGGGACAAUGGCCUUCGAUACUGGCGGCCUGGAGGGAGGUAGGGGCAUGCGGAACUUCCGGUGGAGCGGUGAAAUGCGUAGAGAUCGGAAAGAACACCAACGGCGAAAGCACUCUGCUGGGCCGACACUGACACUGAGAGACGAAAGCUAGGGGAGCGAAUGGG